CAUGCAAGUCGAGGGGCAGCAUGGUCUUAGCUUGCUAAGGCCGAUGGCGACCGGCGCACGGGUGAGUAACACGUAUCCAACCUGCCGUCUACUCUUGGACAGCCUUCUGAAAGGAAGAUUAAUACAAGAUGGCAUCAUGAGUCCGCAUGUUCACAUGAUUAAAGGUAUUCCGGUAGACGAUGGGGAUGCGUUCCAUUAGAUAGUAGGCGGGGUAACGGCCCACCUAGUCUUCGAUGGAUAGGGGUUCUGAGAGGAAGGUCCCCCACAUUGGAACUGAGACACGGUCCAAACUCCUACGGGAGGCAGCAGUGAGGAAUAUUGGUCAAUGGGCGAGAGCCUGAACCAGCCAAGUAGCGUGAAGGAUGACUGCCCUAUGGGUUGUAAACUUCUUUUAUAAAGGAAUAAAGUCGGGUAUGNAUACCCGUUUGCAUGUNCUUUAUGAAUAAGGAUCGGCUAACUCCGUGCCAGCAGCCGCGGUAAUACGGAGGAUCCGAGCGUUAUCCGGAUUUAUUGGGUUUAAAGGGAGCGUAGAUGGAUGUUUAAGUCAGUUGUGAAAGUUUGCGGCUCAACCGUAAAAUUGCAGUUGAUACUGGAUAUCUUGAGUGCAGUUGAGGCAGGCGGAAUUCGUGGUGUAGCGGUGAAAUGCUUAGAUAUCACGAAGAACUCCGAUUGCGAAGGCAGCCUGCUAAGCUGCAACUGACAUUGAGGCUCGAAAGUGUGGGUAUCAAACAGGAUUAGAUACCCUGGUAGUCCACACGGUAAACGAUGAAUACUCGCUGUUUGCGAUAUACGGCAAGCGGCCAAGCGAAAGCGUUAAGUAUUCCACCUGGGGAGUACGCCGGCAACGGUGAAACUCAAAGGAAUUGACGGGGGCCCGCACAAGCGGAGGAACAUGUGGUUUAAUUCGAUGAUACGCGAGGAACCUUACCCGGGCUUAAAUUGCAGAUGAAUUACGGUGAAAGCCGUAAGCCGCAAGGCAUCUGUGAAGGUGCUGCAUGGUUGUCGUCAGCUCGUGCCGUGAGGUGUCGGCUUAAGUGCCAUAACGAGCGCAACCCUUGUUGUCAGUUACUAACAGGUUCCGCUGAGGACUCUGACAAGACUGCCAUCGUAAGAUGUGAGGAAGGUGGGGAUGACGUCAAAUCAGCACGGCCCUUACGUCCGGGGCUACACACGUGUUACAAUGGGGGGUACAGAGGGCCGCUACCACGCGAGUGGAUGCCAAUCCCAAAAACCUCUCUCAGUUCGGACUGGAGUCUGCAACCCGACUCCACGAAGCUGGAUUCGCUAGUAAUCGCGCAUCAGCCACGGCGCGGUGAAUACGUUCCCGGGCCUUGUACACACCGCCCGUCAAGCCAUGGGAGCCGGGGGUACCUGAAGUGCGUAACCGCGAGGAG
rnacentral:rRNA from 1 species